rnacentral:misc_RNA from 1 species
CGACGGCGGCGUCCACGGGGCAGAAGAGCGUGAGCCCGUUGUCCUUGGUCGCGUUGAUGUUGCUGUACACGUCGGCGUUCGAGGCGAGGAGGCCGGCGAAGUUCUUGCAGUACUUCUUGGACAGGAGCUCGGUGAGGUUCACCGGCGCCGGCGGGGCCACGGGCGCCUCCGCCUCAGGGGAGGACAGCGGCUUGCUGAUCUGGAG